rnacentral:tRNA from 1 species
CAAGGAAUAGUUUAAUUUAAAAUAAUAAUUUUGGAGAUUAUAGAUAAAUAUUUUUAUAUUUUUCUUUGA